rnacentral:rRNA from 1 species
GUAAGGAAUAUUGGGCAAUGGGCGCAAGCCUGACCCAGCCAUGCCGCGUGAAGGAUGACGGCCCUAUGGGUUGUAAACUUCUUUUGUACGGGAAAAAACCCCUGGUCGUGUACCAGGGCUGAUGGUACCGUAAGAAUAAGCAUCGGCUAACUCCGUGCCAGCAGCCGCGGUAAUACGGAGGAUGCAAGCGUUAUCCGGAUUCAUUGGGUUUAAAGGGUGCGCAGGCGGAUUGGUAAGUCAGUGGUGAAAUCCUACGGCUCAACUGUAGAACUGCCAUUGAUACUGCCGAUCUUGAGUACACUUGAAGUGGGCGGAAUGUGUCAUGUAGCGGUGAAAUGCUUAGAUAUGACACAGAACACCGAUCGCGAAGGCAGCUCACUAAAUUGUAACUGACGCUCAUGCACGAAAGCGUGGGGAUCAAACAGGAUUAGAUACCCCAGUAGUCC